rnacentral:rRNA from 1 species
CAGUCGCCACGGUAAUACGAGGGGGGCAAGCGUUGUUCGGAAUUAUUGGGCGUAAAGGGCUCGCAGGCGGUUUCUUAAGUCUGAUGUGAAAGCCCCCGGCUCAACCGGGGAGGGUCAUUGGAAACUGGGGAACUUGAGUGCAGAAGAGGAGAGUGGAACCCCACGUGUAGCGGUGAAAUGCGUAGAGAUGUGGAGGAACACCAGUGGCGAAGGCGACUCUCUGGUCUGUAACUGACGCUGAGGAGCGAAAGCGUGGGGAGCGAACAGGAUUAGAUACCCCGGUAGUCCCUGUCUCUUAUAC